rnacentral:rRNA from 1 species
UACAGAGGGUGCUAGCGUUGUUCGGAAUGACUGGGCGUAAAGGGCGCGUAGGCGGUUAAUCAAGUCAGAUGUGAAAGCCCUGGGCUUAACCCAGGAAAUGCAUAUGAUACUGAUUGGCUAGAGAGCGAGAGAGGAGAGCGGAAUUCCUAGUGGAGAGGUGAAAUUCGUAGAUAUUAGGAGGAACACCAGAGGCGAAGGCGGCUUUCUGGCUCGCAACUGACGCUGAGGCGCGAAAGCGUGGGGAGCAAACAGG